CGGAGUAUUGAGGUUUAAUGUCUUGACACUCAUACCGGAUAGGGUAUGGGGACGGCCCUGGAAUUAAGCUUGUUAAGGAAAAGGGUUCAUGUGUAGUGGAGACACCCCUAUGGAUCCCCAUGGAUACUAGUAGGCUGAUGAAACGAGAAACGAUGAUGAUUAGUUAUUGUCAAUGAAUAAGAAUUUAUGAUAUGUUUUAUGUCACUGAUUGUGCAUGAAGUUAUGAUCUGCAUGAUGUUAUUGUCUUUAUAGAUUGUUUUCAUAAAUUCCAUAAUGGUAAGUGAACUGUAAAUGGUUUUAUUUAUGAUAAACGAAUU
rnacentral:lncRNA from 1 species